rnacentral:misc_RNA from 1 species
CUGAGUGAGGGUCUUCGACCCGACCUCCAACCCUCUGUUAUUCAACCAUGUUGCCUCGGGGUGGCCCGGGCCUGUAAAGGCUCUUGGCACCCCGGUGGACCAUUUGUUCGAACUCUGCAUCUUUGCGUCGGAUGAUAAAGUUUAAUUGAUUA